rnacentral:lncRNA from 1 species
ACAAACGCACACCAACGCUGCUGGGGUACUAGCUAUAAAAGAUAGGCACCAAUAGCUAAAUAGGGAACCAAAAAGGGAACUAAGCUAAGCUAAAGAAAUAAAAACAAACACUAAGAUAGCUAGCUAGUUCAUGGCAAUAAGCACAAGCCUUAUCGGAGCUUGGACUCAAUGAAAUCCAACUCUACAAACCAAACAAACGUCAUAGGAAAUUUUCAUAUGGUUUCCAUCCCUACAAACCAAACAAACUUCUAAAAAUUUAUGAAAUAAAAUCCUCCAAAUUUCCUAGAGAAACGCUUUUGAACCAAAUAGCUCUGCGCUUGAUUUGUGUUCUUCAAACACAUCAAUUCCACUUCUAUUGGG